GGAUGAACGCUAGCGACAGGCCUAACACAUGCAAGUCGAGGGGCAUCGGGACGUAGCAAUACGUUGCCGGCGACCGGCGGAUGGGUGAGUAACGCGUAUGCAACCUACCCGUAGCAGGGGGAUAGCCCGUUGAAAGACGGAUUAAUACCCCGUAACACAGGGGCUCCGCAUGGAGAUUAUUGUUAAAGGGUCAUUUCUUUUUCAGGGAUGGUCCGGCUACGGAUGGGCAUGCGUUCCAUUAGGUAGUUGGUGUAGGUAACGGCUCACCAAGCCGACGAUGGAUAGGGGAACUGAGAGGUUGGUCCCCCACACUGGUACUGAGACACGGACCAGACUCCUACGGGAGGCAGCAGUGAGGAAUCUUGGUCAAUGGACGCAAGUCUGAACCAGCCAUGUCGCGUGAAGGAGGACGGCCCUAAGGGUUGUAAACUUCUUUUGCAGCGGAAUAAAGUUUGCCACGAGUUGGCGAUUUGCAAGUACGCUGCGAAUAAGGAUCGGCUAACUCCGUGUCAGCAGCCGCGGUAAUACGGAGGAUCCGGGCGUUAUCCGGAUUUAUUGGGUUUAAAGGGUGCGCAGGCGGGGAUUUAGGUCGGCGGUGAAAUUUCGGGGCUCAACCUCGACAGUGCCGUUGAAACCGUUUCUCUUGAGUGCGGAUGAGGUAGGCGGAAUUUGUGGUGUAGCGGUGAAAUGCGUAGAUAUCACAAGGAACACCGAUUGCGGAGGCAGCUUACUAAACCGUUACUGACGCUCAUGCACGAAGGCGUGGGGAUCAAACAGGAUUAGAUACCCUGGUAGUCCACACUGUAAACGAUGAUAACUCGCUGCCGGCGAUACAUUGUCGGUGGCCAAGCGAAAGCAUUAAGUUAUCCACCUGGGGAGUACGACCGCAAGGUUGAAACUCAAAGGAAUUGACGGGGGCCCGCACAAGCGGAGGAACAUGUGGUUUAAUUCGAUGAUACGCGAGGAACCUUACCCGGGCUCGAACGGUGCAUGAAUAUAUGAGAGAUUGUAUAGUCUUCGGACAUGCAUCGAGGUGCUGCAUGGUUGUCGUCAGCUCGUGCCGUGAGGUGUCGGCUUAAGUGCCAUAACGAGCGCAACCCCUGUCGUCAGUUGCCAUCGGUAUAAGCCGGGGACUCUGGCGAGACUGCCAUCGUAAGAUGCGAGGAAGGUGGGGAUGACGUCAAAUCAGCACGGCCCUUAUGUCCGGGGCGACACACGUGUUACAAUGGGCGGUACAGCGGGAAGCUACCCGGCGACGGGGAGCCGAUCCCGAAAUCCGCUCACAGUUCGGAUCGGAGUCUGCAACUCGACUCCGUGAAGUCGGAUUCGCUAGUAAUCGCGCAUCAGCCACGGCGCGGUGAAUACGUUCCCGGGCCUUGUACACACCGC
rnacentral:rRNA from 1 species